UCCUCGCGCCCUGAUGGUAGCCAAUCUUCC
rnacentral:piRNA from 1 species